rnacentral:tRNA from 1 species
AUGUAGCGCAAUGGACAGUGUAUUGGACUUCUAAUCCAAAGGUCGUGGGUUCGAAUCCUACCUGGGAUG